rnacentral:lncRNA from 1 species
GGACAUUAUUAUCACAAAGCGGUAUCAACGCUCACCUAAAAAGCCAAUGUGCCACUGGUUGAAAGAAACUGUCACUGGUUUCGGGCAUUUGGAGGUGCGUCUUGGUCAGUUAAGCUCAGAAAAUGCCGCCGUGAAUACAAUGAAUGGUGAGCUUCUCUAAUGUACUGUAGCUAGCUAGCCCUAACCCUAAUGUACUGUAGCUAGCUAGCCCUAACCCUAAUGUACUGUAGCUAGCUAACCCUAAUGUACUGUAGCUAGCUAACCCUAACCCUAAUGUUCUGUAGCUAGCUAGCCCUAACCCUAAUGUACUGUAGCUAGCUAACCCUGACCCUAAUGUACUGUAGCUAGCUAGCCCUAAUGUACUGUAGCUAGCUAACCCUAAUGAACUGUAGCUAGCUAGCCCUAACCCUAAUGUACUGUAGCUAGCUAGCCCUAACCCUAAUGUACUGUAGCUAGCUAGCCCUAACCCUAAUGUACUGUAGCUAGCUAACCCUAAUGUACUGUAGCUAGCUAACCCUAACCCUAAUGUACUGUAGCUAGCUAACCCUGACCCUAAUGUACUGUAGCUAGCUAGCCUAACCCUAAUGUACUGUAGCUAGCUAGCCUAACCCUGACCCUAAUGUACUGUAGCUAGCUAGCCCUAAUGUACUGUAGCUAGCUAGCCUAACCCUGACCCUAAUGUACUGUAGCUAGCUAACCCUAAUGUACUGUAGCUAGCCUAACCCUAAUGUACUGUAGCUAGCUAGCCCUAACCCUAAUGUACUGUAGCUAGCUAGCCCUAACCCUAAUGUACUGUAGCUAGCUAGCCCUAACCCUAAUGUACUGUAGCUAGCUAGCCUAACCCUGACCCUAAUGUACUGUAGCUAGCUAGCCUAACCCUAAUGUACUGUAGCUAGCUAGCCCUAACCCUAAUGUACUGUAGCUAGCUAGCCCUAACCCUAAUGUACUGUAGCUAGCUAGCCCUAACCCUAAUGUACUGUAGCUAGCUAGCCUAACCCUAAUGUACUGUAGCUAGCUAGCCUAACCCUAAUGUACUGUAGCUAGCCUAACCCUAAUGUACUGUAGCUAGCUAACCCUAAUGUACUGUAGCUAGCCUAACCCUAAUGUACUGUAGCUAGCUAGCCCUAACCCUAAUGUACUAUAGGUAGCUAGCCUAACCCUGACCCUAAUGUACUGUAGCUAGCUAACCCUAAUGUACUGUAGCUAGCCUAACCCUAAUGUACUGUAGCUUGCUAGCCUAACCCUAAUGUACUGUAGCUAGCUAGCCCUAACCCUAAUGUACUGUAGCUAGCUAGCCUAACCCUAAUGUACUGUAGCUAGCUAGCCUAACCCUGACCCUAAUGUACUGUAGCUAGCUAGCCUAACCCUAAUGUACUGUAGCUAGCUAGCCCUAACCCUAAUGUACUGUAGCUAGCUAGCCCUAACCCUAAUGUACUGUAGCUAGCUAGCCCUAACCCUAAUGUACUGUAGCUAGCUAGCCUAACCCUAAUGUACUGUAGCUAGCUAGCCUAACCCUAAUGUACUGUAGCUAGCCUAACCCUAAUGUACUGUAGCUAGCUAACCCUAAUGUACUGUAGCUAGCCUAACCCUAAUGUACUGUAGCUAGCUAGCCCUAACCCUAAUGUACUAUAGGUAGCUAGCCUAACCCUGACCCUAAUGUACUGUAGCUAGCUAACCCUAAUGUACUGUAGCUAGCCUAACCCUAAUGUACUGUAGCUUGCUAGCCUAACCCUAAUGUACUGUAGCUAGCUAGCCCUAACCCUAAUGUACUGUAGCUAGCUAGCCUAACCCUAAUGUACUGUAGCUAGCUAGCCCUAACCCUAAUGUACUGUAGCUAGCUAGCCCUAACCCUAAUGUACUGUAGCUAGCUAGCCUAACCCUAAUGUACUGUAGCUAGCUAGCCUAACCCUAAUGUACUGUAGCUAGCUAGCUAACCCUAAUGUACUGUAGCUAGCUAGCCCUGACCCUAAUGUACUGUAGCUAGCUAGCCCUGACCCUAAUGUACUGUAGCUAGCUAGCCCUGACCCUAAUGUACUGUAGCUAGCUAGCCUAACCCUAAUGUACUGUAGCUAACUAGCCCUAAUGUACUGUAGCUAGCUAACCCUAAUGUACUGUAGCUAGCUAGCCCUGACCCUAAUGUACUGUAGCUAGCUAGCCCUAACCCUAAUGUACUGUAGCUAGCUAGCCUAACCCUAAUGUACUGUAGCUAGCUAGCCUAACCCUAAUGUACUGUAGCUAGCUAGCCUAACCCUAAUGUACUGUAGCUAGCUAGCUAACCCUAAUGUACUGUAGCUAGCUAGCCCUAAUGUACUCCCUAAUGUACUGUAGCUAGCUAACCCUAAUGUACUGUAGCUAGCUAGCCUAACCCUAAUGUACUGUAGCUAGCUAGCCUAACCCUAAUGUACUGUAGCUAGCUAGCCUAACCCUAAUGUACUGUAGCUAGCUAACUAACCCUAACACUGCACCACUCGGUAGAAAACUCUUUCAGCUGAAUAAUAUUUCCAUCAAAAAGGUUCGCUAGCAACACGGUGUUUGAAUACACUAUCAAAAGUACAUGAAGUUUUACUUGUUGUAAACGUUUAUACCAUAUGAGCAUUCGGCCACCGGUGAACACAUAC